GUCGGUCUGGAUGACAGGAAGAGGUGAAAAUUCCUGCGCCUACCGGGACUCGAACUCCAAUCCCUUGGUCGUCCGGCCCAAAGCCAACUGCUAUACUGACUGCGCAAUCCCGGCUCCUCCUGUAUGGAUGUAAAAGUGCUCUUUCUUGACCUGAACAUUGCAUGAAGGUGACUGAUAUGCCUCAUGCUCCUUUUGCUUUACUAUGGGAAGAGAGGCUCCUGCACCCAUCAGGUAAAUCAAUUCAGCAGAUUGGACUGAGGUCAAUUACUUCUGCUGCUUUCACCCUUUUCCACCUCAGCUUCAACCUAAAAGUCAGUAGCCAUUUCACUAUAUGAAAGUGAAACUUUUUGUUUAUACAGUUAAUUAUUGGCAGUAGGAGUUCAUCAUUUAUCAAUAUAUUCAGGGAAUAUAAUGUUAUUUGUGUAUUGUACCACACUGAUACAGAAAAAGUCCAGUGGUUAUUCUGAUAUUUGGUAUUGAUUCAUUAAAUGUACCAUUUGACGUUAUGAUAAUUGUACUGUUUUCUGCCUCUCUACCCAUGAAUGUAUACAAUAUGGCUGUUUCUAGCAUAAUGGAAAUUAUUCAGAAAAUUUGAAUGCAGAAAUUUAAAGAAGUUAAUAAGGUUAGCUAAUGUUCAGUUUCUACAUCACAACAAUAAUACCUUGUUUGCUUGAUCAGCAGUAUAGGUUCCCUUACAUCAUUGUUGAUGAUAAUACUUGUACCCAUUGAUAAUGUGCUUGUCUAUUUUCAGAUUUUUAAUUACAUUUCUCUGAUUAACCAUCAUUAAAUUGAGAUAAAUUAUAUUUAUUGUAAUUUAUCAAGGUCAACAAAUUCAUUUAAUGAUGGUGUUGUGAUCUGUUCGGUAAUAUUUAACUAGUCAUGCACGAAUCUGGGGGAGGCUAAUCUUAAUACAAGGAAUGAAUGUUUUUGCCUGUACUGCUCUACAAGAUUUCUUCUUGAAUUCAAGCGAAAAUGUAAAACAAACUUCAGUUACUCAAUGAUGUAAUUAAAACUCAAAUGUUUCAUAUAAAAUGAAAAAAAAAAAAAGAAUCAUAUGCAUCAGAUAUGCUCGAAAAUGCAACAGCAUUAAUUUACCAGAUGCCUCAUAGGGUCAUUCAUGAAAACAGAAUCCCAUAUACUAUGAAAAUUCGGCAAAGAGAUUACAGGUUUUCUCCAUUUAUCAGUUUUUCUGUUGACAUUUAUCUAAUACAGUAAAACAGUGUUUUUACCUUGUGAAUGUACAUAUAAUGAAAGGGCUGUAUGAUGCCAUGAACAUGGGCUAGUAAAAUAAGGGAAAACUGUCAUACAAAUUAAUAUUUAGUAAUUAUAAUAUCAAACGUAAAUUCAAUGUGUUACCCGGAUUGUUCCAGGUUAUGUAUUUAGUCACAGGUAAUGUGGAAUUGAUCUGACGCGGAAAGGCACAUACUUCAAAAUAUAUUAUUGAAAAAACAAGUUAAUCAUAUAACAUUUAAAAGAUACAACUCUUUAAGCGCAGGACUGCAUAUCAAAAUUAAAAAUAUUCUUGCAUAUAUGUGCAUAAUAUCAUCCCCAACCCUACAAUUUUGAGAAGGAUUUUGUUUUUUUGUUUGUUUGUUUUUUGUUUUUGUUUUUGUUUUUUUCAUUUAUUAUUUCUCAUAUUUCUCUGUCUUCAGUUCUACAUCAAUUUGCUUUUUCCAUUGACUUUGGAGACAGGCAAAGUCUAGGACCCUGUACUUGACAAAAUGCAUUACAUAUACAAUAGGGCUACAACCAAUCCUUUACAAAUUUUGUAAUUCUGUAUUCCUCUAGUUUUUAAAUGUGAAUCUUCACUCUCUGUGCCUAAUUCCCAGAAUAUUAUCUUCAUUUUCUUUCCUGCAGUUUAGGAAUCAGACAGAAAGGGGGGAAAAUUAUACAACAAAUUGUAAAUUUUUAAUUAAAAGAAAUACCAAAAUACAAAAGUUAAUUUUAGAUUGUUAACCGAAUGUUUAAAAAAUACCUAAUUUUUAUUAAUAUGCUUCAAUGCCUCGUAAAUGCCACAAAAGUAGCCACCACUAUAAUAUCCUACAUAUAUCUGAUUAACUGUAUGUAAAUCAUUCAAGUGAACAAUUUAGUUUGACACUAUACAAUUUGUGUAGCUGUUACAAGCAAUUAUGUUUUCCUUUGUUCAUUAAUGAAAAACACUAAAAUUAUAAAAUUCUUUAUUUAAUAAUUUGUGAUUCUAAAUACCUGUAUGCUGUAAUACAUGAACAGACAAGGAAAAAACAUAUAUAUUAAUAGUAAAAGUAAAGUUGUCCCUGUGCUUAACUAAGUAAGUACUACGCCAUGAAGGCGUAUAGGGGAGUGCCCU